GCCUCUUGCCGUGAAAGAACCGCGAUGAGACGGAGGCGGUGGCGGCGUUGCCGGAAAACUUCUUUCGGGUGCCGGUGGUGAGCUUCAGUUGGUGUAUGGCAUAAUAUUGCGGCGAGCUUCAAUUGGUUUCGGACCUCUGCGGCUUCGACAAGGUGAAGCUCAAUGCGGCUUGUUGAAGUGCAAGAAAUAGAAGGAAUAUUUGAAGGAAGCACCAUAUCCAGCCGAAUAAAUUGAAGAAUUCAUUGUGGAAAAGUUGACUUCAUUUUUGAGCAGUAAUGCAGCUUAUUUAUAAGUCAUAAAAGUUGCAAAUCAAUACAAGUUCAAUCAGAGUGCUGCUCAUGUGUAUUCAGAGGUCAAGGGUGUACAUGCUUUCUAGGAUGCUUUAUCAUCAACUCUAAGGUUAGUUUUUUGGAUCUAUCAUAUAUGGCUAUGAUUUAUCAUGUCUGUUCUUUAUUUUUUAGUGUAAUUCUCAUGAGACAUUUUUGUAUUGAUUAAAA